AGGCUAAAAAAAGAGCUAAGAGGAGAUGCAGAAGUCCUAGUUUUCUUUCAGACCGCUUGAAUUACAAUAUGCUGAAAGAUUAUUACGGAAUUUCUGCCCAACGACG